AUAUUAAUAUUCUCAAACUCUUACCACAAUAGCACGUAUGUCUAUGGACAAGAUCAGCAGACGUGAGAAACUUUCAUUCGGAUUCCUGAAUAUCCAGACAACGACAGAGUCGCAUUCCUACCAGACACCCCAGAACUAAUGGGCGUAGGUCCCUAGCGGCGAGGGUAACUAUCUCACCGCGGCACCGUAAAGUGGGCGGCUACGGCACAACUAAUUGGCCGGAACUCUCCGAAACAAAGUGCGCCAAAUGUGUGCAGUAAAUCGCCAAUCAGGCAAGGCGAGUUGAGACAGCGGGGAAAUGGAGCCCACUCUGGCAACUGACAAGCACUGCAUUAUUGUAAGAGUGGACGUUUGUCAACAUCCGAGGCUGACGUCACCUCCGAAAUGUGGCGUCUGCAGGGAGAUCGGGUUCUUUCUACGACAUCGUUGUUUUUCAUUUUGUUUUGUCCCUCUCCACAGUGGUGUGAAAUAACGCCUCAUCGCUGGCCUGACUGAACGACCGAAGCUCACAAUCAAUUCGGAGAGGAUUUCCCAUAGAAUUGUCUAAAAUGGGAAAGUUUUGUUUUUUAAUUUGUUAUAUCCAUGAUGAUAGAGUUUAAAUCGUCGAAAAGGA